CUCAGGAUGAACGCUGGCGGCGUGCUUAACACAUGCAAGUCGAACGAUGAAGCCCAGCUUGCUGGGUGGAUUAGUGGCGAACGGGUGAGUAACACGUGAGUAACCUGCCCUUAACUCUGGGAUAAGCCUGGGAAACUGGGUCUAAUACCGGAUAGGAGCGUCCACCGCAUGGUGGGUGUUGGAAAGAUUUAUCGGUUUUGGAUGGACUCGCGGCCUAUCAGCUUGUUGGUGAGGUAAUGGCUCACCAAGGCGACGACGGGUAGCCGGCCUGAGAGGGUGACCGGCCACACUGGGACUGAGACACGGCCCAGACUCCUACGGGAGGCAGCAGUGGGGAAUAUUGCACAAUGGGCGCAAGCCUGAUGCAGCGACGCCGCGUGAGGGAUGACGGCCUUCGGGUUGUAAACCUCUUUCAGUAGGGAAGAAGCGAAAGUGACGGUACCUGCAGAAGAAGCACCGGCUAACUACGUGCCAGCAGCCGCGGUAAUACGUAGGGUGCGAGCGUUAUCCGGAAUUAUUGGGCGUAAAGAGCUCGUAGGCGGUUUGUCGCGUCUGUCGUGAAAGUCCGGGGCUUAACCCCGGAUCUGCGGUGGGUACGGGCAGACUAGAGUGCAGUAGGGGAGACUGGAAUUCCUGGUGUAGCGGUGGAAUGCGCAGAUAUCAGGAGGAACACCGAUGGCGAAGGCAGGUCUCUGGGCUGUAACUGACGCUGAGGAGCGAAAGCAUGGGGAGCGAACAGGAUUAGAUACCCUGGUAGUCCAUGCCGUAAACGUUGGGCACUAGGUGUGGGG
rnacentral:rRNA from 1 species